UACAGGGGGUGCAAACGUUGCUCGGAAUCAUUGGGCGUAAAGCGCACGUAGGCGGUCUGUUAUGUCGGAUGUGAAAGCCCUCGGCUCAACUGAGGAAGUGCAUCCGAAACUGGCAGGCUAGAGUACUAAAGAGGGUCGCGGAAUUCCCGGUGUAGAGGUGAAAUUCGUAGAUAUCGGGAGGAACACCGGUGGCGAAGGCGGAGACCUGGGCCGAUACUGACGCUGAGGUGCGAAAGCGUGGGGAGCGAACAGG
rnacentral:rRNA from 1 species